rnacentral:lncRNA from 10 species
GGAAAGGUUUAGUUGUUUAAUACUUUUGCCAUGUGCUUAAAGAGACAACCAAAUUGCUGCAACAAAGAUAUGUAUUCAAGGAUGUUCAUUGCAGUAUUGCUUAUGAUAACAACUGAAAAUAUCCUAAAUAACCAUCAAUGGAAGAUUGAGUAAAUACAUUACAGAAGAUGCCAUAAGAUAAUACCAAACUGUCCAUUAAAAAGAUGAGUAGGAUUUGUAUAUAUUGAGUAGGAGAAUUAUUCAUAAUAUAUACAGUAAAAAAUGUAAAGAAGUGAAUUAGAGAACCACAUGUAUAAUAUUACAUUGUUUGUGUAAAAAAAUUUGAGUUAAUACACUCUAUGCAUACAAAGUAUGCUAGAAUGUAUUCCAAACUGUGAGGAGGCUAUUGUGGAGAAGGUGGUAUGUGAAGUGAUUGAAAGGAAAUUUCACAUUCUUAUUUAAGCGUACACCUGUAUUUCAUGAAUUUUAGAUUAUUUUUAGAAACAGCCAAAAAAAAAAGAAAGAAAAAAGAAAAAACCAAAAAACCGGAGGCAUAUUCAAUUGUAGAAAUGACCAAAAAAAAAAAAAAAUUUGGAAGGGAGACUUGCAUAGCAGAGGGAGAACAUGCCAGAGGAUACAAGUUCAUGAGUCUGGUUCUUCCACUUUGCUCCCAAAUGGUUGAAUGGUAGCCAGGAUGGAACCCAUUGUCUUCCUACUCUAACUCAAAAUCUUCUCUCUUCCCACAUCCCCCAGUUUUUAACCUUGGCAUAGUCCUGGAGGAUUCUUCUUUUCCUUAUUUACUUGCAUUCUACAUCCAACUAGCCU